rnacentral:snRNA from 1 species
GGGCUCAAGUCGGCAGCACAUAUUCUAAAUUUGGAACCAUACAGAGCAGGAUUAGUGUGGCCCCUACACAAGGAUGACACACAAAUUCAUGAAGCAUUCCAUAUUAAA